rnacentral:lncRNA from 1 species
CGCCGAUCGCGAGAAGAAGGUAGAGCGAUCAUCUUGAAGACAGAACGUGUCUGACCGUCUUGGCACGAGGUGCAAAACAAUUCGCGACAGCGAUUUUCUUUUAGUCUUUCUGGCUAUGUUCUUUUGUAAUUAAAGUAGAUUUUUGUUUUUACCCUCAUUGAGGAUCGGAUAUUGCGUUAAUUUGCGGAGUGAUUAUUCCCGGACAGGAUGCGAACAUGGAACCACAUGUGUGGUGGAGUAAAUUUGGCUUUCUUGGCUUCUUCUUGAGGCUUUGCUGGGUGUGAAGAUCUAACUGCGAAGAAGAUAACACUUUUCACGGCACGAGAGAAGUGCAUCACUUUCUUGGACGUAUGAUGGCAGAGUACAUUUUUUAAAACUAUUAUGAAAUUAGAUAUAUUUGUUGACAACAUCAGUUGAAAAAUAUUGACUGCCAUUACUUUUUAAUUUAUUAUUUAAAUAAUUUACGAGAAUUUGACCAUUGUUAGUUAUGGUCGAUUGCAUGAAUUUUAAUUCUUUUAACGUCUCGCCGAGCAUAAGCAUGUUCGCUGCCUACAAAAAGAAUUAUUUCUUAUAAAAUGGCAAUUAACAGCAAAGAACUAUUUAAUUUAUAUCAAGUGUAGGAAUGUUACUAAUGCCUAGAAGUAAUUAAUAGAAGUAAUUAAUCGUAAAAAAACGAGUACCCUGAAGGUUAAGAUGUUCUGAAAUAUGAACCAUAAUCUGAACCACUAAGUUGAAAUUAAUUUUUUGUUUUUAUACUUACUUUCAAUCAUUGAAUUUAUAUUAUUAUGAAUAUGAAAGUUUUUUUAUAACAAUCAAAUAAUCAAUGAACACUCUUUAAUGUUACACUAUGCGUUUUGCAAUAAACGAACAAGUAACAUGAAACAAUAAUGUGUCGCAUCAUUCGUCUUUCUAAUUUAUUUCAUUGUUGAUUAACUAGUACCAAAGAUCAUUCUGCAU